rnacentral:piRNA from 1 species
AAGAGUAAAUCUUUGAAUAAUGC